CAGGAAAAGGCAUAACUUCUGAAGCCUGGUCCUAUGGAAAAUUACCAGAGUUUCUAUCACUCCUUUAGCUUCCGGAGUGUGUGAAUAAUAGGCAAUUGUAUUCAUCUGACCUUUGGACAGGCACCUUACAGUAUUUUACAGAAACGUCCUUUGCUUUUCUUCCCUGUGGUUUCUUCUGUGUUAAUCAUUACUUCCUGAGGCCUGGAGCUAUGCUUUAAAUGGUCUUUGAUGCCUGGCACAGUGCCCGAGGAACAGAAAAGUAUUAUGGAAUUCUAGAAUGUACCGUAUUUUCCUAUUUCUAGAAGCCAAGUUGUUUUCCACAUUUUAACAACUCAGAACUAAAGAUAUUUAUAAUAAUCGGUCUUGGUAGAAUAUUUCAGCUGUCAGGAGAAGAGGAAGUUGGGACAGUCUUCUUCGCAGGCUCAGCGUUCCUUUCAGCUCCCCAGCAACCUCAUGAACAGAGGUCACCUAGCUGCUUUAUUUGCACUCCAACUGUUACACUUUCAUCUUAAGCUUGCAUUCCUUGUUGUUACUGAAAACUGCCUUCAGAAAGGUUAUGCAAUGAAGUAACUCAAAACCACGAGGGAGGAAGCAAAUGGCUUGUGCAACGAAAGGCACAAUCACAAGGCCAGAGAGAGACAGAAUUUCUUAUCAUUGCCCUGCCUGGUUUUCAGGAGUUCUCCUUUCCUCCCUGAGAACUAGCCUCUUCUCCAGAGACUGACCCUAAGCAGGCCACCCUCUCGGGCCAGCGGAGUGGCGGGGAGAGCUGCAAUAGACCUACUGACGUCACUUUUCCACAUGCAUCAUAUCCUCUCCACCCCAUUUCCCCUGGAACCUCCCUUCCCGAGCUCCAUCUGACUAAUCUGCUCCACUGUCAGCCUGGGGACUCUCCAUCCCCAUCAUCUGGUCCUCACCUGCCUGGUCUCCUGUACCCCCAACUCCUGUAACCCCUCAGGCUCCUCUUUGGAAGAGCUACAUGAGAAGCUUCCUGAUAAGAAGAGCAUGAAAGGAAAAACAUUUAAAGCUUUCCAUUUUUCAAGAUUUUAUUGUCAAUGACAAAAGAAAAUAAAAUUAUGCCAAGAGGCA
ensembl:lncRNA